rnacentral:rRNA from 1 species
CGCAGCCGCGGUAAUUCCAGCUCCAAUAGCGUAUAUUAAAGUUGUUGCAGUUAAAAAGCUCGUAGUUGAAUUUCGGGAUUGACGUGACGGUCAUGCCUUAAGGGGUAUGAACUGUUACUGUUGAUUUCUCACCUUCUGGAGAAACUUGAUGUCCUUUAUUGGGUGUCCUGCGGAUCCAGGACCUUUACCUUGAAAAAUUAGAGUGUUUAAAGCAGGCAUUUUUGCUCGAAUACAUUAGCAUGGAAUAAUAGAAUAGGACGGCAUGGUUCUAUUUUGUUGGUUUCUAGGAUCACCGUAAUGAUUAAUAGGGAUAGUUGGGGGCAUUAGUAUUCAAUUGUCAGAGGUGAAAUUCUUGGAUUUUAUUGAAGACU